rnacentral:rRNA from 1 species
AUUGAACGCUGGCGGCAGGCCUAACACAUGCAAGUCGAGCGGAUGACGGGAGCUUGCUCCUUGAUUCAGCGGCGGACGGGUGAGUAAUGCCUAGGAAUCUGCCUGGUAGUGGGGGACAACGUUUCGAAAGGAACGCUAAUACCGCAUACGUCCUACGGGAGAAAGCAGGGGACCUUCGGGCCUUGCGCUAUCAGAUGAGCCUAGGUCGGAUUAGCUAGUUGGUGGGGUAAUGGCUCACCAAGGCGACGAUCCGUAACUGGUCUGGGAGGAUGAUCCGUCACACUGGAACUGAAACACGGUCCAGACUCCUACGGGAGUCAGCAGUGGGGAAUAUUGGACAAUGGGCGAAAGCCUGAUCCAGCCAUGCCGCGUGUGUGAAGAAGGUCUUCGGAUUGUAAAGCACUUUAAGUUGGGAGGAAGGGCAGUAAGUUAAUACCUUGCUGUUUUGACGUUACCGACAGAAUAAGCACCGGCUAACUCUGUGCCAGCCGCCGCGGUAA